AUUGAACGCUGGCGGCAGGCCUAACACAUGCAAGUCGAGCGGAUGACGGGAGCUUGCUCCUCGAUUCAGCGGCGGACGGGUGAGUAAUACCUAGGAAUCUGCCUGAUAGUGGGGGACAACGUUUCGAAAGGAACGCUAAUACCGCAUACGUCCUACGGGAGAAAGCAGGGGACCUUCGGGCCUUGCGCUAUCAGAUGAGCCUAGGUCGGAUUAGCUAGUUGGUGAGGUAAUGGCUCACCAAGGCGACGAUCCGUAACUGGUCUGAGAGGAUGAUCAGUCACACUGGAACUGAGACACGGUCCAGACUCCUACGGGAGGCAGCAGUGGGGAAUAUUGGACAAUGGGCGAAAGCCUUAUCCAGCCAUGCCGCGUGUGUGAAGAAGGUCUUCGGAUUGUAAAGCACUUUAAGUUUGGAGGAAGGGCAGUAAGCUAAUACCUUGCUGUUUUGACGUUACCGACAGAAUAAGCACCGGCUAACUCUGUGCCAGCAGCCGCCGUAAAAC
rnacentral:rRNA from 1 species